CCCGCUGAACUUAAGCAUAUCAUUUAGCGGAGGACAAGAAAACAACUGUGAUUCCCUGAGUAACAGCGAGUGAACAGGGAACAGCCUAUGCUUGAAUCCUCGAUGCGAAGGAAUCGGAGCUCGAGGAAUUGUAGUGCAAGGGCCAGAGCGACCUUCUAACAGUCAGACGAAACCUCUUGGAAAGUGGUACCAACGAGGGCGAACGUCCCGUUACGUCUGUACGCGUGGGAGGUUAACGUUUUGGAUUCCACGAGUCGCGCAGUUUGAUAGUGCUGUGCAAACCGGAGGUGUACUUCUCCGAAGGCUAAAUAUAUCACCAAGACCGAUAGCGAACAAGUAGUGUGAACGAAAGAUGAAAAGCACUUUGGAAAGAGAGUGAAAAAGUCCUUGAAGUCGUUGAGCGCCAAGGGUAUGAGACCCAUUACACGACUACGCUAGCGUGGUCUGUCAGUACACGUUGGUUCCUUCUCGAGGGUCGUAGUGCACCGUUCAACUUCGUGUUGCGCGGAACUGCAGCUCGUUCAGCAGCAAGGGAUCGACGUGAGGAGAGACGUCUUACAGAGCUAGCUGGGGUUUUGCGUCGGUACUGUGCCCGGUAACGGUCCUGGUGCCGAUACGGGACAUCAUCUAGCUGGACGGCGUCUUUUUGCUGACUCCGGCUUGACCGGAAGAUGGUCUUCUACCACCCGUCUUGAAACACGG
rnacentral:rRNA from 1 species